rnacentral:lncRNA from 1 species
AUCAAGCUAUAUCUAUAUAAUUAUAUAUUAUUUUAUCUGUUGGUCUUGAAACGCCUGCCAUUUGCGUUUGCGUUCGUGCGUGCUUGUGUGUCAGUAGAGAUGCGAGAGUAAAGGAGAGAGACCUUUAACCUUUGAUCAUUUAUUGACACCACCGUUGAGUUGAUGUCAAUAGCUGUACAGAAGAACUACGGGUGCAUGAAGAUUUCAGAUCACAUCAAAGAAUGGCUGCGUUUUGCAGCAUAAUGAGACGGUAGUAAAAUGGAGAGAAAAGAAACUAACUUCCAGAAUAUUUUAUGGAGUUGACACCUAUGUUUCUGUGAAUUUUCUUUAGUUUUAGUGUACUUUUGUGAAUCUACGUUUCUUCGUUGUGAUUUGGUGUGCUGACAUCCAUUGGAUAUACUUUUUAUGCACUUUUUAAUUUUAAAAAAUCAUCUUCAAUUACCCAGUUUUCUCGCUGCACUGUAUUCACAAGCAAAUACUGCAAAACUGUUCAUUAAACAAUCUCCUCCCGUUGUGACAACGGUGUCCUUUUAAUACUUUAUGCUUUAAAGUCUAUUAGUUUAGCUUUAGCUUAUUUCUUGCAACUCCCAAGGGUUGCAACAUCACUUCUCCUUUAAAUAUUUGAAAUUGAAAUAUUUUAAAAUGUUAAUUUUAGCAAAUUCAUUUGCCUUGAUUUAUCACUGCUUAAUUAGUCCCUAUGCGUUUUUCUUUCUGUUGAGUAUCAUAUGCAUCCAUCUUUAUCGUAGAUUGUCAUCAUUUGUUUUACAUAUAAGAUUAAUUGUUAUUGUAUAAUGUAAAUGUCUCCUGUGUUAAUAUGAUUUAAUAAAACGGAACAUUUUAAUCUUCUAUGUGUGUUGUUUCUACCAUGUUUAGAGGACUGCAACGUGUAUGUGUGAAAAUAAAAUAUUCUUUUGUUUGCUAAACAUUUAAAUUACAUUUGAAAACGUUCGUGAAGUUUUUUGAUAAAGGUUGUGAGUACACGUUACUAAAAUAUUACUUCAAUGGGCAUGAUAAACUUUUUAUAAACAUUUGGUGAGAUUAUUAUUCAAGUAUUUUAUGAGACCAUUUUAUAAACAUUAAUAAAAUGUUACAGUUAGCAGCUUAGACUUUGGGGUCUUUAUCUCGAGGUAGCGAAAGGCAUAUAGGUCUGGCAUCUCAGCCCGUGUUUGAUCCUGUAUCACUCAAUGUGAGACGUUGAUACCUGAUUUCAUAAAUGACUCGGGAAAAGUAAAUCCUGGAAAAAAAGAUUUGUACCACUUUUACAAAAUACUCGCUCCGAGUUAAGUGUUGUAUCUCACACUUCAUCUGCAGCUACUGAUUUACUCAAAGACCCCCAAAGUUAUCAGCCAACCUUUAACGUCAGGUCUGUAGAAACUGUCAUUAACUCUCAACAUCUUGAGAGGCAGACGAGGGACAGCAACUAGGCGCAAGGCAAAGCUUUUGUAUGUCUUCACAUGAAAUGAAAUUAUAGUCAUGUUAAUGUUUUUCCUUAUCAGCUUUAAUGUAUUCUAUGAAUGGUGAAACAGAAGAGAUAAAAUCGUUCUUUAGACAUACAGGUGAUUUUUUUAAUUGUGGUCUCUACUGACAUGCAUUGCUACAAUGAUGCGGAUAGCUUGUCUUUGUUAGUCAAGACCGAGCACAACUUUACACAUCGUCGUAUUGUUUAGAUGCGAGAGACCCAAA